rnacentral:rRNA from 1 species
AGCAGCCGCGGUAAUUCCAGCUCCAAUAGCGUAUAUUAAAGUUGUUGCAGUUAAAAAGCUCGUAGUUGAAUUUCGGAAUUUUUUUAUCGGUUGAAUCAACAGGUUUAUACUGAUUUUAAGAAUUUCUACCUUCUGGAGAACCUUAAUGUCAUUUAUUUGAUGUUUUGGGAAACCAGGACUGUUACCUUGAAAAAAUUAGAGUGUUUAAAGCAGGCUUAUGUCUGAAUAUAUUAGCAUGGAAUAAUGAAAUAGGACGGCAUGGUUCUAUUUUGUUGGUUUCUAGGAUCACCGUAAUGAUUAAUAGGGAUAGUUGGGGGCAUUAGUAUUCAAUUGUCAGAGGUGAAAUUCUUGGAUUUAUUGAAGACUAACUUCUGCGAAAGCAUUUGCCAAGGAUGUUUUCAUUAAUCAAGAACGAAAGUUAGGGGAUCGAAGACGAUCAGAUACCGUCGUAGUCUUAACCAUAAACUAUGCCGACUAGGAAUCGGACGAAGUUAAUUUUUUAAUGACUCGUUCGGCGCCUUACG